rnacentral:rRNA from 1 species
UACGAAGGGGGCUAGCGUUGCUCGGAAUCACUGGGCGUAAAGCGCACGUAGGCGGAUUGUUAAGUCAGGGGUGAAAUCCUGGAGCUCAACUCCAGAACUACCUUUGAUACUGGCGAUCUCGAGUCCGGGAGAGGUGAGUGGAACUGCGAGUGUAGAGGUGAAAUUCGUAGAUAUUCGCAAGAACACCAGUGGCGAAGGCGGCUCACUGGCCCGGUACUGACGCUGAGGUGCGAAAGCGUGGGGAGCAAACAGG